UAAAAUUUUAGGAUUAUUGUGUUAAAUUUGAGAAAACAUAUUUCUUUUUUACAUGAUCUCUAAGAUUUCAGGGCAAUUCAAGUUUUUUUGGGCAACAAUUAAUCUUAAAUGCUCUUUGAAGGAUGACACUCAUUCACCAGGCCUGUUGUUUCUGUCCUCUUUGUAAAGAUGGAGCAUGCGUUUUAUGUUAUCUUUAUCCAUUCGAAUACAUCAUGUCAAGUCAACAAGAAGUUUACUUCAUUUUCCUGGAGAAUUCACUGAGAGUUGAAGGUCAAGGUGCUUCAAAUAUCAUGAGAGGUGGCUGGGCAAGUGGAUCCCACCUGUAGUCCCAGCACUUUGGGAAGCUGUGGCAGAUAGGUCAGCUGAGAUCAGAAGUUGGAGUUCAGCCUGGGCAACAUGGUGAAACCCCAUCUCUACU